rnacentral:misc_RNA from 1 species
UCCAAAUCAAUUGAAAUGGGCUUAUAUUAACUCAAACAUCUCCAUCCAAUUAAUGAUCCCGAGGCCAGAAAAUCAACUAGCAUAACAGUUUGUUUCUGAACAGUGAACACAAUCCGCCACAGGGUCUGUAUAAUUUGGCUCCAGAAUCGCCCACUUCUGCCUUUGCAGUCAAAGGGAGUCGCAGAAGCUUCACAAUUCACAA